rnacentral:rRNA from 1 species
CUGGCGGCCUUAGCGCGGUGGUCCCACCUGACCCCAUGCCGAACUCAGAAGUGAAACGCCGUAGCGCCGAUGGUAGUGUGGGGUUUCCCCAUGCGAGAGUAGGGAACUGCCAGGU